rnacentral:rRNA from 1 species
GUGCACCAGGCGAGAAUUUUUCUCAAUGGGGGCAACCCUGAAGGAGCGACGCCGCGUGGGGGGAUGAAGGCUUUCGGGUUGUAAACUCCUGUCAUUUGAGAACAAGGGUAAGCAAAUAACUACUGCUUAUUUAAUAGUAUCAGAAGAGGAAGGGACGGCUAACUCUGUGCCAGCAGCCGCGGUAAUACAGAGGUCCCAAGCGUUGUUCGGAUUCAUUGGGCGUAAAGGGUGCGUAGGUGGCGCCGUAAGUGGGGUGUGAAAUUUCGGAGCUUAACUUCGAAACUGCAUUCCAUACUGCGGUGCUUGAGGACUGGAGAGGAGACUGGAAUUUACGGUGUAGCAGUGAAAUGCGUAGAGAUCGUAAGGAAGGACCAGUGGCGAAGGCGGGUCUCUGGACAGUUCCUGACACUGAGGCACGAAGGCUAGGGGAGCAAACGGGAUUAGAUACCCGCGUAGU